GUCUAUGGCCAUGGCACCCUGAGCAAGCCCGAUCCCGUCUGAUCUCGGAAGCUAAGCAGGGUCGGGCCUGGUGAGUACUUGGAUGGGAGACCACCUAGGAAGACCAGGUGCUGUAGAUG
rnacentral:rRNA from 1 species